ACAGAGAGAGAGACAGAGAGAAUGAUGGAAUGAUCUGUCUAAAGUGAGUAGCUGCAGCAUGAUGAAAACAUCUGUUAAAUGUCAUUGAAUGAUAGAGUGAUGGCACACAUAUGGAGAAGAUCCUUCAGAGUACAACACACACACACACACACACACACACACACACACACACACACACACACACACACACACACACACACACACACACACACACACACACACACACACACACACACACACACACACACACACACACACACACACACACACACACACACAGGAGAGUGAAUCAGUUGAACCUCUACCAUGCUGUGUCUUUUCUCUCAUCCUGUAUCAUGUAUUUAACGUAUAUCUGAAGAAACACGGUUCUUUCACAUGUUAUCAGCUGGGAUAAAGGGACAUUUAAUGAAGAUCAUUUUAAGAUGGAGAAUAAAACUCUCUUUGUGCAUGUUGAUCAUUUUGUGGAGAUGUAACCAGUUCAAUGUUAACAACCUGUUUGGGACUGGGGGGGCAGCAAUUUCACGAGGGGAUUGAGUAAGGUCUCUCCCCGAGUGCCAUGAGCUGACCACGCGCGUUCAUUGCAAUUGACCACGCGCGUUCCAUUGCAAUUCUAAAGACAAAGGAAUUCUCCGGUUGGAACAUUAUUGAAGAUUUUUGUUAAAAACUUCCUGAAGAUUGAUUCUAUACAUCGUUUGACAUGUUUCUACGGACUGUAACUGAACUUUUUGACUUUUCGUCUGCACCUAGUGAUUGCGCCUCAUGAAUUUUGACUACUGGGCUAAACGUGCAAACAAAAAGGAGGUAUUUGGACAUAAAUUAUGGACUUUAUCGAACAAAGCAAACAUUUAUUGUGGAAAUGGGAUUCAUGGGAGUGCAUUCUGAUGAAGAUCAUCAAUGGUAAGUGAAUAUUUAUAAUGCUAUUUCUGACUAAUGUUGACUCCACAACAUGGCGGAUAUCUGUUUGGCUGUUUUGUUACCUGAGCGCUGUACUCAGAUAAUUGCAUGGUAUGCUUUUUCGAAAAUGUUUUUAAAAAAUUUGACACAGCAGUUGCAAUAAGGAGAAGUAUAUCUAUAAUUCUGUGCAUAAUACUUGCAUCUCAACAUUACUGACCAUAAAGCACCAAUGUAAAGUGAGAUUUUUGGACAUAAAUAUGAACUUUAUCGAACAAAACAUACAUGUAUUGUGUAACAUGAAGUCCUAUGAGUGUCAUCUGAUGAAGAUCAUCAAAGGUUAGUGAUUCAUUUUAUCUAUAUUUCUGCUUUUUGUGACUACUCUCUUUGGCUGGAAAAUGGCUGUAUGUUGUUUUUGUGACUAGGCUCUGACCUAACAUAAUCAUAUGGUGUGAUUUCGCUGUAAAUAAUUUUUGAAAUCGGACUAACAAUAAAAAAACUAAAAAAGAAUAACAAGAAGUUAAGCUUUAAUUGGGUGUAUUGCACGUGUGAAUGUUUGAAAGUUAAAUAUUUCCCAAAAAUAUUUUUGAAUUUGGCGCUCUGGCUAUUCAGCGGAUGUUGUCGAGGGGCGGAACCCCUAGCCCUAACAAGUUUUUAAGGUACCACUGUCUUCAUGACUCUUUAUUCGGUGUCCCAACUGAUGUUAAUGCUUUAACUGAACAAACAUUGUUUGUGUGUGUGUGUGUGUGUGUGUGUGUGUGUGUGUGUGUGUGUGUGUGUGUGUGUGUGUGUGUGUGUGUGUGUGUGUGUGUGUGUGUGUGUGUGUGUGUGUGUGUGUGUGUGUGUGUGUGUGUAGCUCACCAGACAAAGCGUUAGCGGUGGAGGAGAGGUAGAACAUAUCCUGAAGUAAAUUAUUAAGAGAGAGGCCAUCUGGAAUGGCUUCCUUUAAGAGCUAGUCUCUCCAGCCUGAACACACACACACACACACACACUUGCACCCACAGCUACACACUCACAACCACAAUUACACACUAUCACUCUCUUUCUCAAACAAACAGAAAGGCCUCCUUUAUCAGUGUGAGUCUCUCAGGUCUCUUUUAUCAGUGUGAUUGUCUCCUUUAUCAGUGUGAUUGUCUCAGGUCUCCUUUAUCAGUGUGAGUGUCUCAGGUCUCUUUUAUCAGUGUGAUUGUCUCAGGUCUCCUUUAUCAGUGUGAUUGUCUCCUUUAUCAGUGUGAUUGUCUCAGGUCUCCUUUAUCAGUGUGAUUGUCUCCUUUAUCAGUGUGAUUGUCUCCUUUAUCAGUGUGAUUGUCUCAGGUCUCCUUUAUCAGUGUGAUUGUCUCAGGUCUCCUUUAUCAGUGUGAUUGUCUCAGGUCUCCUUCAUCAGUGUGAUUGUCUCCUUUAUCAGUGUGACUGUCUCAGGUCUCCUUUAUCAGUGUGAUUGUCUCAGGUCUCCUUCAUCAGUGUGAUUGUCUCAGGUCUCUUUUAGCAGAGAGGGAAUGGGGAGAGGGCAGAGGGAAGAGGGGAGAAGAGUGGGGGAGAAGAGAGGAGAGGAGAGAGAAGAGAGGAGAAGAGAGGAGAGAGGGAGAAGAGAGGAGAUGGGGAGAGGCGAGGAGACACCACACCCAUAGAGCAUACUCAUCACCUCUGGGUUACACUUUAUCUGAACCUGGAGCCUUCAUAAAGGCUACAUAACACUGUCAUAACCCUCCACAACACAGUCAUAACCCAUAGCACUGUCAUAACCCUCCAUGACACUGUCAUAACCCUCCAUAACACAGUCAUAAGUGUUUUUUGUUUCAGCCCAGCACUAACACACCUGAUUCAACGACUCAAUCUAACUAUCAAGCCCUGGAAUAGUGGAAUCGGGGGUAUUAGUGCUGGGAUGGAACAAAUAUGUGCAAUCCAAAGGGAACUCCUGGACUGGAGCUGAGGAAUGCUGGCCUUCAUUAAUAUUAACGGUAAGGGCAAAUAAAAAGCAGACUGAGGCGCCCGUGAGAAAGAACUGUCACACACACACACACACACACACACACACACACACACACACACACACACACCGAUUGGGAUGGAACUGUUGGCAGAGUGACACAACUCUCUUGUUACCGCCUGAUGAGAACGGCAUCCUGGGUAAAUCACUAAUGCUCAGUUGUCAUUGGUCUGCACAGUCUGUUUGUGUGUGUGUGUUUGUGUGUGUGUGUGUGUGUGUGUGUGCACCUGUAUUUGUAUGUGUGUGUGUGUGUGUGUGUGUGUGUGUGUGUGUGUGUGUGUGUGUGUGUGUGUGUGUGUGUGUGUGUGUGUGUGUGUGUGUGUGUGUGUGUGUGUGUGUGUGUGUGUGUGUGUGUGUGUGUGUGUGUGUGUGUGUGUGUGUGUGUGUGUGUGUGUGUGUGUGUGUGUGUGUGUGUCAACAGACUGCAGGAGACUGGCCUUUUCCUCUGUGGGUUCAUGUACCUUGGCUUCUGUACCUGGAUCACUGGAUUACACCUCCACCCCAAGCUGUGAGGUCCUAGUGUACAUCUAGCUAGCAGGACAGACUGAGGCUGGGGCCGUGGUAGACAUCAUCACGACUCUACAAUGAAUCAAUCUGUCUCCCUGGAAACUCAAUUGAACUUCAACGUAUACCUUCACGGUUCAAUACAAACUGACAUUAUUAAGUGAAGAAGGUAUGUGUUGGAGUAAGCAGAGAGGAAGAGGCGAAGUGAGAGAGAUUUACUCCACCCAAGAUCUGGGUGAGAUAAGCCCUUUUUGUAUGGAGGACUAUGAGGGACUGUCAAAUUACAUGAGGCUUAUUUGAUUUAAUAGAAAUGUCCUAAUGUUUAGGCUGUUACAAAUGUACUGAUAUAUGUGAAUGCACGUGCAUUCCAGCAAAAUGUAGAAAAACGACUUAGUUGUGCCUGUUGUUCACGCGUAUCUGAUCUCUCAUUGGCUAAAAUGGUGCCACCUAAUCUCACCUGCCUUCAAUCAAGGAGGACAAGUAUUUCCAUUGUUAGAGCUGUCACUCGGCUAUCUUGUCAACAUAAAAUAUAAUCUUUGGAGUAAAGCAGCCGGUCGCAAAUAGCUCCUUUACCCUCCAUAACCUCUCGAUGGGUUUUGGCAAGUCUGGAGGGUCUGGGUAGCUAUCAGAUAGGUGUUAGCAUGUCUGUAGGGUCUGGGAAGCUAUCAGAUAGAUGUUAGCAUGUCUGGAGGAUCUGGGUAGCUAUCAGAUAGAUGUUAGCAUGUCUGUAGGGUCUGGGUAGCUAUCAGAUAGAUGUUAGCAUGUCUGGAGGUUCUGGGUAGCUAUCAGAUAGAUGUUAGCAUGUCUGGAGGUUCUGGGUACUUAUCAGAUAGAUGUUAGCAUGUCUGUAGGUUCUGGGUACUUAUCAGAUAGAUGUUAGCAUGUCUGUAGGUUCUGGGUAGGUAUAAACAGUGUACUGGUAAAGUUUCCACCAUAUUGCUUUCAUCUUCCAGAAGUGAAAACCAUGAAGGGGAGGGGUAAGACAUGAAGUGGGAUGGGCUGAGUGUGUAUGUGGGGUCCAAGCACCCCAUGGAAAGUGUUUGACUCUACAAGCUGAAGGCCUUGGUUUCCGUUCAUGUCUAACUCCUUCCUCCUUCACUGGCUGAGCAUCUCUUCAGGUAUCUGCAGUCUGGCUGAGCAUCCCUUCAGGUAUCUGCAGUCUGGCUGAACAUCCCUUCAGGUAUCUGCAGUCUGGCUGAACAUCCCUUCAGGUAUCUGCAGUCUGGCUGAGCAUCCCUUCAGGUAUCUGCAGUCUGGCUGAACAUCCCUUCAGGUAUCUGCAGUCUGGCUGAACAUCCCUUCAGGUAUCUGCAGUCUGGCUGAGCAUCCCUUCAGGUAUCUGCAGUCUGGCUGAACAUCCCUUCAGGUAUCUGCAGUCUGGCUGAACAUCCCUUCAGGUAUCUGCAGUCUGGCUGAGCAUCCCUUCAGGUAUCUGCAGUCUGGCUGAACAUCCCUUCAGGUAUCUGCAGUCUGGCUGAACAUCCCUUCAGGUAUCU